GGGGGUGAGCUAGGUUCGACGCAGGUAGUGCGGGCGAGAGCAGCGGGCCGAGGUCCCGUGGCCUCGUUAAACUGCGGGAAAAGCAAACUGCCAACGAAAAUCUCGCUCUAGCGGCCUAAAUAGGCCUCUACGCUCGCCGGAUCCGGCCUGCGGGAAUCGGUGAGUGUCAAAUAGCAGGCUAGCUCUGGGGUCUUCCCCCUGGAGAUCCCGGAUGCGAACGCAAUCAGGGUAGUCCGGAAGGGAUCCCGCCCGUGGGAGCCCGUCGGGACGAGGAGAAAUCGCGGGCUACGCUCGUAGAGACUGGCGCUUGCUCACUUGCGGACCCGGGUGCAACUCCCGGCACCUCCACCA
rnacentral:tmRNA from 1 species